rnacentral:tRNA from 1 species
GCGGGAGUAGUUCAGUGGUAGAACUCAAGCCUUCCAAGCUUGUAGCGAGGGUUCGAUUCCCUUCUCCCGCUCCA